rnacentral:rRNA from 1 species
AAGCGCUCGCGACCAGACUUGGGUGUUGUGGAUCCGCAGGCGUUCGCCGCCUGUGUACUCUGCCUCGCCUAGGCCAGCAUCGGUUUGCGGUAGGGGAGAAAAAUAGGGGAAAUGUGGCUCUCUUCGGAGAGUGUUAUAGCCCGUUGCGUAAUACCCUGGGACGGACUGAGGUUCGCGCUCUGCAAGGAUGCUGGCGUAAUGGUCAUCAACGA